CGGAAUGUAGCUCAGCGGUAGAGCAGUGACUUACAAGUCAUGUGUCGCAGGUUCGAUUCCUGCCAUUCCGA
rnacentral:tRNA from 3 species